UACGGGGGGGGCAAGCGUUGUUCGGAUUCACUGGGCGUAAAGGGUGCGUAGGUGGCCAGGUAAGUUUGGUGUGAAAGCUCGGAGCUUAACUCCGAAAAGUCAUUGAAUACUAUCUGGCUGGAGGGUCGGAGGGGAGACUGGAAUUCUCGGUGUAGCAGUGAAAUGCGUAGAUAUCGAGAGGAACACCAGUGGCGAAGGCGAGUCUCUGGACGACUCCUGACACUGAGGCACGAAAGCUAGGGGAGCAAACAGG
rnacentral:rRNA from 1 species